rnacentral:rRNA from 1 species
UAUGGUAAUUUCCAGCAGCCGCGGUAAUACGUAGGGGGCAAGCGUUAUCCGGAUUUACUGGGUGUAAAGGGAGCGUAGACGGAUGGACAAGUCUGAUGUGAAAGGCUGGGGCUCAACCCCGGGACUGCAUUGGAAACUGCCCGUCUUGAGUGCCGGAGAGGUAAGCGGAAUUCCUAGUGUAGCGGUGAAAUGCGUAGAUAUUAGGAGGAACACCAGUGGCGAAGGCGGCUUACUGGACGGUAACUGACGUUGAGGCUCGAAAGCGUGGGGAGCAAACAGG